AACUGACCUGCAUCGGUAAUUAACGCCACGUCCUGUGGCACUACCGAAAUGACCGACAUCGUGUCGG
rnacentral:sRNA from 1 species